rnacentral:rRNA from 1 species
CCCUUAGAUGUUCUGGGCUGCACACGUGCUACACUGGCAGGUUCAGCGAGCUUCAUGCCCUGAUCUGAAAGGAAUGGGAAAUCUUUUCAAAACCUGCCGUGCUUGGGAUAGAUGUUUGCAAUUAUUCAUCUUCAACGAGGAAUACCUUGUAAGCGCGGGUCAUCAUCCCGCGCUGAAUACGUCCCUGCCCUUUGUACACACCGCCCGUCGCUCCUACCGAUUGAGUGGUCCGGUGAGGCUUUGGGAUCUAAGCGAAAAGAGCGUUUCGCUCCUUUUGCUGGGAGAACUCAGUCGAACCUUAUCAUUUAGAGGAAGGAGAAGUCGUAACA